GGCUCCUUCGGCUUGGGGAACCGAGCAAAUUGGUUGGACUCUGAGGUGAAACAGUCUUGGGACUAGCUGGUAUUUAUCUGAGAAACUAUCCGGAAAUACAGAAGUAUAAGCUGGACUGGGAAGUCAUGUUUAAAGCCCCAACAUUUUAAAAGGUGACGAAUGAGAAGCAGAAGACAGCCAUUUGGAAGAAGGCCGUGGCAGACCAUCUUUGCAUUGUUACCUCCCAAAAUUGUACGGGAUGUGCCCCUGAAGCCACCAGAAGCGGAGCUCGACUCCAAGCAGGCUUGACUUGAAUCCUUUGCACGCGUUUGCUUGCUUCUGAAGAAAGCGGCAUAGGAUGGCUCCGUCCUCCCCCACCCCCAGGGCAAUUUUUGCGACUAUAGAGUAACAGAACAGCUAAGGACGAGGAGUGAUGGGGAAGGAAUUGAAGGUGCCAUCAUAUUGGUAUCCAUUGGCUGUGAACCAUCCUGGGUCAUCUGAUCUUCUGGAGUUCUACAGAUUAGGCUGGAGAAGGAAUUGAAGUUGCACUGGGAUUCACAACAGAGAAAAGCAGCAAGGAUGACCUAUCCUCACUUUCCUCAUUUUCAGCUCCCAAAGCUGGACAAAUGUAUACAAGGGAAACUCACAGCAUUCCAAUGGUUUAAGUUCAUGAUGGCUCUGAAGAUCGGGCCAGCGCCACACACGA